UACGGAGGGUGCAAGCAUUAAUCGGAUUUAUUGGGCGUAAAGGGCGUGUAGGUGGAUGUACAAGUCAGAUGUGAAAUUCCGGGGCUCAACCUCGGAGCUGCAUUUGAGACUGUAGAUCUAGAGGGAUGACGGAGAGAAUGGAAUUCCACGUGUAGCGGUGAAAUGCGUAGAUAUGUGGAAGAACACCUGUGGCGAAAGCGGUUCUCUAGUUUAACCCUGACACUGAGGCGCGAGAGCAAGGGGAGCAAACAGG
rnacentral:rRNA from 1 species